GAUGAACGCUGGCGGCGUGCUUAACACAUGCAAGUCGAACGGGAAACCUUUUAUUGAAGCUUCGGCAGAUUUAGCUGGUUUCUAGUGGCGGACGGGUGAGUAACGCGUGGGUAACCUGCCUUAUACAGGGGGAUAACAACCAGAAAUGGUUGCUAAUACCGCAUAAGCGCACAGGACCGCAUGGUCCGGUGUGAAAAACUCCGGUGGUAUAAGAUGGACCCGCGUUGGAUUAGCUAGUUGGCAGGGUAACGGCCUACCAAGGCGACGAUCCAUAGCCGGCCUGAGAGGGUGAACGGCCACAUUGGGACUGAGACACGGACCAGACUCCUACGGGAGGCAGCAGUGGGGAAUAUUGCACAAUGGGGGAAACCCUGAUGCAGCGACGCCGCGUGAAGGAAGAAGUAUCUCGGUAUGUAAACUUCUAUCAGCAGGGAAGAUAGUGACGGUACCUGACUAAGAAGCCCCGGCUAACUACGUG
rnacentral:rRNA from 1 species